rnacentral:misc_RNA from 1 species
GAAUUGCGAUAAGUAAUGUGAAUUGCAGAAUUACGUGAAUCAUCGAAUUUUUGAACGCAUAUUGCACUCCCUGGUGAUCCGGGGAGUAUGCCUGUUUGAGGGUCAGUAAAAAAUAAAACAUUAUCAUGAAUGAUCCUUAAUUUUUUUGGGGGGAUUUCAUGGAAUUGGAUUUUUCAAAGGUCCUUUUUUUGUUCCUUUGAUGAUCUCAAAUUUAUGUUAUGGCUAAUUAUAUAAAUUGAACUUAAAAAAGAGCAAUUAUUUAUAAUACUCGAAUUUUAGUGACGUUUAUAGGCCAAAUAUGAUUUUUUUGGUGUUAAUAAAAAAAAUACCAAAAGGUUCAUAAAUAAUUUUUAAAAUUUGACCUCAAAUCAGGUAAGAAUACCCGCUGAACUUAA